rnacentral:misc_RNA from 1 species
CCAACACUAUGUAAAAAAAAACAACACAGAAAAAAGCAAGAUGGCGGACUUCAGCUUCGAUUCUUUAUAAAAUUCUGUAAAGUGCUCGUUUGCAUGUUAUUAUAUUCAAUUCCUAGGUACUAAGUCAUCAAAAAAGAACAAAUUUCUGGUGAAUUUUUCUUUGUUCAGUGUAGAGCAUUAUUUAUGUGUACGACAAGUAACUUUCACUAUGAGUGAAACUGCCAACAGUGAAGGUGCUUUAGAAUCGGAGAAGCCGGUUCAGAAUGAUGAUGUACAAUUCCCGCCCUUCCCUGAUCCUAAAGAUGAUGAUUUCGAUGAUGAUAUUGCGGAAGAUGAAAGAAAUUACUAUAGAACAAUCUUUAAAGACAUUAACCAAAUAAAAGGUAUGAGAUUACAUUGUACGGCUUGUGACCGUCACCUGGGGUGUGCACCACGAAACGAAGUGCGUAUGCGAGCUCAUCCGAUGUUACGCACUUUAGUUUGUCACAACUGUCACGUUUUUUAUAAUAGUGGGGAAUUUGAAAAGGGAGAUGAUGGAUCAGAACUCUACUGUAGAUGGUGCGGCCAAGGUGGUCAAGUAUAUUGUUGCUCUGACUGCCCUCAUGUAUUUUGUGCGAAAUGCAUCAGACGUAAUUUGGGAACACCCAAAAUAAAAGAAAUUGAAAAUACGGAUGAUUGGAAAUGUUUUAAAUGCAAUAACAAUUGUUUGUGGGAUCUACGUGCAUUAUGUUGGGCUGUCUUGCGCUUCUGUGAUCUUAAAAAUAAGAUAGUACACCAAACACAAGAUACCCAACUAAAAGAAGCAUAUAAAAAGGACUGUGCUAUUGACUAUUCUGAAUGUUGUAAAGCAAAAAGCAAUAAAAGAGUACAAAAGAUAGAGUCCAUAAAGAAGAAGGAAAUUAAAAAAGAAAUUAAGAAGGAAGUAGAGCCUAAACCUCCUCUUAAUAUUAUUUCUAAAAUCCCAUCUACAAUACAGGUGAAAAAGUUUGCCGCUGUAAAUAUAGAAGAAUCUAAAUCUGAGAAAAAACCUCAAAAACGAUCAUUGAGUCCAAAAAUCAAACCAGUUACAGCGAAGACCUCAAUCAAUACUGCACAAACUACAAGACUGUUGAACCCUCUCACAGUGCCACCACUAGCCAAAAAGAUGAGGCUACCAAAUUCACCCAUGAUGAGUACUCCAGUUCGAGUAACUGACCGGAACAAUAUAACUACAUACAGUCGCAUAAGGCCUAAGCCACCUCAUCCUAUUGCCAUCGCUAAUUGUAGUUUCAAUGGCUUUGGUGCGAGUUUAUUUAGUACUGACAAUAUAAAUUUAUCUAUAGAAAGUUUAACACAGGGUUUAGACAUGUCAGCUGUAGCUGCUUUAACUCAAAAUUCUCAGGAUGAUGAUGUUGUAUGCACUCCAGAUUUUCCCCUGGAACCUUUGUGUGAGGUUACAGAAGACAACGAUGAUGAUGUCCAGUGCAUAACUCCUGGUCCAGUUGUACCUCCAAAAUUUGUUAAUCCUCCUCCAUUAGUACCCCGAAGUUUAAAUAAUUUAUCAACAGAAAUAACAGCAGACAAUAUCAUUCAAAUGACAGAUAAUGAUGUUACCGUUAAUGCAGCUACUGGAGGACUGAAAUUUCGUGUGGAUCCACAAACUUUGUCAUCUAACAAAAUGUAUCGGCUACCUGAUGGACGUAUAUUUGCAAUUAACGCCAAUCCAUCAAUGCCUGGAGGUUAUUCUGCUACUAUAGUAGCGGUUACUGAGCCCACUACUGGUAAGGCAGUGCCUAAGGGUGCAACAUUUGCAGCAAAACUUAGUAGUGUAAGUACGUCAACUCCUACACCUACUCCUAAGCCAACUCGGAAUAUUCCUCGCAUUUUGAAACGAAGUACGCCAAAGUCUGCGACUGCAAGAAAAUCGUCAGAAUCUUCAUCUAGAGAAUGUGAUUUGAAUGUGCCUGUUGAGUGGUAUAGAUACAAUUUAAUAGAUGCGGUUGACGCUUUGGAAUAUGCACUGUCAAGGCUUCACAAACUGAAGAAAGAAACUACUACCGUCUACUUGCGAACACGCUCUGUUAAUGAAAUGCGUAAUCUCCAUCGGACAUUAGACCGAUUAUUGGGUACGUCAUCCAGCAGAUUUGGUGAAAUACGUGAAAAUCUCAAUAAAGGAUUAAAACAGUAUGUUCUCCGUAAGUCUGGUAGUAAUGCUAACAAUAGUGAAGACGACGAUGACGUUGAAAUAUUGCCGGAUUUGGAUAACGAUGACCCAAUAUUUAUAGACGAAAACUCAGUAGAAUCUACUAUGAACGGUAGUGAAAACCAAGAGGUGGAUUUGACAGGUGCUGGUAGCAGUGAGUACAAUGAUAGUGGGGAAAAUAGUAAAGCUAACAACUUUUCCAAUAUUGUAAUUGAUUCCUCUGAAAUUGACAAUGAGAACAGAGAACACGGUGAUGUACUAGCAGUCUUAAGUCACAAUGUGCAUGCCACAGAAAACGUAUUAACAAGGCAAGACUGUGAUAAUGUAAAGGACAGUGAUUUAGAGAAAGUAAAAGAAUUAAAAUCUGAGGGAAAAGUAAACGAAAACAAAGAUACUGAUUUAAUUAAUAGUGAGAACCAUGAUAGUGAAAAUGAGUCUGAAACUAAUGCUCGGGAAAGUAAAUUGGAUAACAAUAUAAAAAUACACAGAGCUGACAAAGUAAGCCAUGAAGAAUCUAAUGAAAUAAAAGGAAAGGAAAACACUGACAUAAAUAUUGGAACUGAAACUGUGAGCAAAGAAAGCAUCAUUGCUAAUAAUGGCAUGGAUGAUGGUGCCAUGACACUGACAUGCAACGAAGUAGCUAUUGAAGAUGAUAAAGAAGGAAAUGAUAAUAAUGAUAAGGAAGCUUUACUCAAAGAAGAUGAGAAGGUUGAAAGUGAAAAUAUAGAAGAUGUUAUGAAUCAUAAAGAUUUAAAUGAAAAGGCUGAUAGUCAAGAUAGUAACGAUAAAGUCCAAGAUAUUGAAAUGAGUGAAGAGAUGAUUGAAACAUUACUGAAAGACGAUAAUUUAGUUGAUGAAACAACAUCUAAUUUAAAAAGUAAAGAUGUUGCAGAAGUACUGAAAGAAACCUAAAUAGUGUACAUUUUAUAUUAUCUUGUAUUGGAUAAGUAAAAUAAUAUACCUACUAAUUAAACAUAAGAUAGGUAAAAUACAAUAGGUUAACUGUGUUAAUAACAUAGUGGUCAAGAUUUUACUGUUAUACUUACUCCUCCAUAUUAACAGGGCGGGACUUCAUAAUGUCACCGUUAUAAUCAAAGUGGAAUAAAUAAAAACAUUGAACAAUAACAAAUAUAGCAUCGUAUACUGUGUAGAGUUUAAACAAUAUGUUACAUGUUAUGUAGUUUUUUGUGAUCCUUUAUGUCAUCGUCACAGGAGAAAGAGGUGUAUGUACACAAUAUUCCCCUCAAAUAACUUAGCUAAGCUGUAGUUGGUCAUUUGACACUUCGCGAAUCGUCAAAUAGGUUGAUGUUUCACAGCGUCAGCUAGGCGUAGGCAAAGUGCUGAGGGCGACUGCACGUACCUACUCACGCACAUACAUACAAACAAGUAGUAUAGCUGCGACACGUAUGGUUGACAGCAGCUGGCUUUCAAAUCUCAUAGUGUUAAAAAGCAUUUACAGUUCAUUCUAAACGUAAAGAAAGCCCGCAGUUAUUUGUAAGUUUUUUACUUUGCAAUGAAAACAAUAGUUAUAAUUGAAAAGGUACAAAGUACUAAAUUUUGGUUUCAAUUUAUAUUUUGUAGUGACAUACAAAGAGUUGAAAGAGUAAUCAAUAAAACCAUGACUACUACCGUCGAUGGCACACAGUAGCCUUAUUAAGCUUAUUAUGCAUUUUAUUUAAUAACCAUUUCUUUCAUUAUGAUUGUGAUAAAGUACAGUUUAAAAUUAGCAGAGCUUUUGUUUAAUAUGGUGUCUUUAUUUAUAGACCUUAAUGUAGUAAGUAAACAUAUAUUUAUCUUUAUUAUGUUUUCAUAACAAAACUAAAGAAUUUCGAUUUUGUAUGUAUGAAAUGGAUGAGGUAUUUAUGACACUAUAUUUUGUAUUCUCAAAGCAUAUUUCAUUUUCAUUGAAUAAAAUUAUAGAAAUCAUCCACGUGGCUACAUUAAUAUAUGAAUUUUCGUUAACAAUGUCUCUUCCCCCCUUGAGGAUUUCUUUAAGGUACAUUUUGGACGCUGGCUGCCGACUGCAACUGUCAAUCGCACGUGCCGCGACUGCACGAAAUCGGCCGUACCUGCACUGCUUUCCAUGUAUUUACAUGAAACCGUUCUAGAUCGAAGCGGCAGCAGCAUGUGCAGUCGCUCUAAGAUAGCGACCGAGUGUCUGCAGUCGAAGCAAAUGCGCUCGGCAGCUAGCAUUCUAGACUCACCUUUUGUAGAAAUCACUAUUAGCAAAAUUUUGAACAAAAUCUUAGAAUUAAAGGUUGCAUAUAACAUAUAAUAAAAGAUAAAUACAAAGAUUUAAGGCGAGGAAUUGGUCAACAAUAAUUCCAUAACCGGCACGCGCAUCUAAGGCGCCAAAAGGGGUCGGAGCGUCUGAGCGGGGCGAGGAUAACAAUACGCGCGCUAGCUUAUAACUAAAAGUCGUAAGCGACAAAAUGGUUUUGUAAUUUUAAUAUUUAGAAAUGAUAAUUUAAUAAAAAUUCCUACUACAAUUUUAAAGAGUAUGUAUAUACUCAACUACUAAAAAAGUUAAGAGGCUUAAAUCGGUCCCGUUUGCCCAUAAUAUGUGAAUCUCUUUUUAAAAAGAGGUAUGUUUGAUAUAUUUUUCUCUGUUAUAAAAGUUACCUAAUCAUGUUUCUACAACUAACAAAAUAAGGCUUAUAUCAUGAACUUUCAGGUAACCAAGUUGUAUUUUGAUUCGUUUUGUAUUUACUGAGAAAAAUUGACAUCCUUGGCGCCAAAAAUUCCAAUUCGUCCUCUUAAAGCGUGAUAUGUAUUUAAUUUAUGAUUGACUAGACAUUAUUAUGUAACUUAAAACUUUGUAUAUUUCAUGUUGCACAUAUACAUAUUUAUAGACUUGGGGGAUCGUAAUGAGGAAAACUAAAAUAAUAUCUGACUUUAUUUACCUUUAAUUCUGAGGUUAUGUACCUAAUUGAUUGAGAUAUAUUCAAAACAAAAAUACUGGCACUUAUCAAUUUAUUAUCUUGUUCUGCCUUCCAAUCGAAAUUCAUAUGUUAGAACUACUAAGUUUUAGUUCGAGGUUUAGAGUUAAAACAGAAGCAAACUUGUGACAGUUGCUGCAGGCACGCUUCUAAAAACCUUUGUCGGUGGAUUAUCUUAAACACUUCCAUUGUUUUAUUAUACUUGACGGAUCUGUUACAUAACGCGGAAGAUCAUCCCUCUUGUGGCGUGUUUGUUUUUCCUUGACCAAGAAAAUGUUUUUUUCUUUUUUUUUCAUCGAGCUUACAUAAUGAAAAAUGUUUUGGGUAUAUUUUCAAAACAGUAAUCUAAACAAGAUUCAACUUUCUUUAGAGAGUUUUUUUAUUUUUUCCGUAUAGUAGAACUAGUAUUACCACACGGCUUGUUGUUAUACUUAGUUGCCCUCCCGCUCAUAUUAUUCCUGAGCUUAUGUUAUUCCCGAGUUUAAAACUAAAAUCAAGGGCAGGACACAUCUUGACAAGACAAUAUUUUUUUAAGCUGUGAGGAACGUUGAAUCUCGCUCUUUCAUAGCUACUUCGAAAAAUUACCUUUAACGUGCGCUCCAAUAUUAUUUAAUUUGUUAAUUAUGUUUGUGAUAUCUGACAAAGUGACUCUUGUAGAUUUAAUGAAUUGGUAAUUAAAAAAAAUAGACCACUAGGGGAGAUGUUCCUAAAACGAGUACCCUUCCUAAAACGGGUAGGCCUUGCCAUUCGCAUAUUAUAGAUCUUAGUGUGAACCUGUGAGUGUAGAGUGGCGCACUACCCCCCUGCCGAUCACGGUCAGUCGGCUCGCGCACCUGGAGCGAGCGUGUUCGAGAAAAACUUUAAAUGAUUCGUGGGAUGUGGAAGUUAUGAAACUGGACCGCAACCUCUUGACGAAGCUAUAAGUCCACCUCAUACUCCAACACCAGUAGGCCAGUAUAUUGAAGAACUUUCAACACCAUGCAAGACUACAAUGGCAGAAACACAAAUUCUUAAGGAUUUUAUAACACCAUGCAAGACUCCAUUACAAACUACAAUCCUUCUUCAACCUGAGGAGCAUCAUGUAACACCAAUAAAAUAAGGGGCACUUCCUCAAUUGAUCCCAUAGAAAGCUAAUCGAAGACAAAGAAAGCCACAGAGAGCUGAAGAAGAACAGGAACAGCGUGAAAAAGAAAUUUAAAUAUUUUUUCUUUGAUUUUUAACAAAAUUAUCUGUUGGUAGCAUUAUAAUUUCAAAUGUAACAUUUAAUGACGUAAAAGAGUAAUCUAGACUGAUCAAAAUAAGACAACUGUUUAACAUAAUUAAGGAGACUAAUUAACAAUAAAGAUUUCCUGGAUAAUGGAGGAGGCUAAGAUAUUUUUUUAAAUGUUUUUUAAUUCAUUUAUCACAUAUAUUCAUUCAUUACCUGCUUUGCCCAAAGGCGUUACCCGUUUUAGGACCCCCACUAGGGCAAAGCGGGUAUUUCGAAGGGGUUUACUUUUUCUGAUUUUUUUCAGAAUAUUGAAGAAGAUUACUAAGACUAUCUUAUAUUUUCCAAAGUUUAUUAUAUAAACAACCCUAUGAGUACUAAUACAAGUCGCAUAUAAUGUUCUUGGUUAUUUUAUUUAACAUCUUUCGUUAGCUUACCCGUUUUGGGAACAUCUCCCCUAUGUGUAAAGUACAUUAAUUGGUAUAUAAAAAAUAUAGGUAGUUUCUACGUUCUUCGCUAAUAUUUUUACUUUUUCUUGAAGAAAACGAAAAUGUAAAUAUUUAUAUUAUUCGUGGCUAAAGCUCAACUUACACUGGCGCUGUGUUGAAGUGAAUCUAAGCGUCAAUCUGACAGAAGUAAAGCACAUGCUCAUAAUAUUUAAGAUUUGUCUAUUUCAGAAAGAAUGAAAAAUUAUGUGCAUUAGGUACCUACAUUAUGGAGCCAAGUGCGAAUUGAUGAAGUUUCAGACCAACGUUUGGAUUCGCUUCAACUCUCAAGUGUUCGUUGAUGAAUGUAGGUAAGCCAGUAGAAUAGAUCUUUAUGUGUUUGUUUUAUUUGCUUGAUGUAAAUUUAAUCGGAUGGUCGGCAGGCAGGCCCUCCGAUCUGGCCAGCUACUGCAGCUAAACUGUUAAAAGUAAGAAUUAUAAAACCAUCAUUUUAGUA